rnacentral:rRNA from 1 species
CCUACGGGUGGCAGCAGUGAGGAAUAUUGGUCAAUGGACGAAAGUCUGAACCAGCCAAGUAGCGUGAAGGAUGACUGCCCUAUGGGUUGUAAACUUCUUUUAUAUGGGAAUAAAAUGUUCCAUGUGUGGGAUUUUGUAUGUACCAUAUGAAUAAGGAUCGGCUAACUCCGUGCCAGCAGCCGCGGUAAUACGGAGGGUCCGAGCGUUAUCCGGAUUUAUUGGGUUUAAAGGGAGCGUAGGGGGAUUGUUAAGUCAGUUGUGAAAGUUCGCGGCUCAACCGUAAAAUUGCAGUUGAAACUGGCAGUCUUGAGUACAGUAGAGGUGGGCGGAAUUCGUGGUGUAGCGGUGAAAUGCUUAGAUAUCACGAAGAACUCCGAUUGCGAAGGCAGCUCACUGGACUGCAACUGACACUGAGGCUCGAAAGUGUGGGUAGCAAACAGGAUUAGAUACCCGUGUAGUC